AUGAACGCUGGCGGCGUGCCUCAUACCUGCAAGUCGAGCGAACGGACGAGAAGCUUGCUUCUCUGAUGUUAGCGGCGGACGGGUGAGUAACACGUGGAUAACCUACCUAUAAGACUGGGAUAACUUCGGGAAACCGGAGCUAAUACCGGAUGAUAUUUUGAACCGCAUGGUUCAAAAGUGAAAGACGGUCUUGCUGUCACUUAUAGAUGGAUCCGCGCUGCAUUAGCUAGUUGGUAAGGUAACGGCUUACCAAGGCAACGAUGCAUAGCCGACCUGAGAGGGUGAUCGGCCACACUGGAACUGAGACACGGUCCAGACUCCUACGGGAGGCAGCAGUAGGGAAUCUUCCGCAAUGGGCGAAAGCCUGACGGAGCAACGCCGCGUGAGUGAUGAAGGUCUUCGGAUCGUAAAACUCUGUUAUUAGGGAAGAACAUAUGUGUAAGUAACUGUGCACAUCUUGACGGUACCUAAUCAGAAAGCCACGGCUAACUACGUG
rnacentral:rRNA from 1 species